CCUACGGGAGGCAGCAGUGGGGAAUAUUGCACAAUGGGGGAAACCCUGAUGCAGCGACGCCGCGUGAAGGAAGAAGUAUUUCGGUAUGUAAACUUCUAUCAGCAGGGAAGAAAAUGCCGGUACCUGACUACGAAGCCCCGGCUAACUACGUGCCAGCAGCCGCGGUAAUACGUAGGGGGCAAGCGUUAUCCGGAUUUACUGGGGGUAAAGGGAGCGUAGGCGGUUUAGCAAGUCAGAAGUGAAACCCCGGGGCUCAACUCCGGGACUGCUUUUGAAACUGUUGAACUAGAUUGCAGGAGAGGUAAGUGGAAUGCCUAGUGUAGCGGUGAAAUGCGUAGAUAUUAGGAGGAACACCAGUGGCGAAGGCGGCGUACUGGACUGUAAAUGACGCUGAGGCUCGAAAGCGUGGGGAGCAAACAGGAUUAGAUACCCGGGUAGUC
rnacentral:rRNA from 1 species